rnacentral:rRNA from 1 species
GCAGCCGCGGUAAUACGGAGGGUGCAAGCGUUGCUCGGAAUUACUGGGCGUAAAGGGCGUGUAGGCGGUUUCGUAUGUCUGGCGUGAAAGCCCUGGGCUCAACCUGGGAAUUGCACUGGAUACUGGCAGGCUAGAGUGCGGUAGAGGAUGGCGGAAUUCCCGGUGUAGCAGUGAAAUGCGUAGAGAUCGGGAGGAACAUCUGUGGCGAAGGCGGCCAUCUGGACCAGCACUGACACUGAGGCACGAAAGCGUGGGGAGCAAA